GAACGCUAGCUACAGGCUUAACACAUGCAAGUCGAGGGGCAGCAUCAUCAAAGCUUGCUUUGAUGGAUGGCGACCGGCGCACGGGUGAGUAACACGUAUCCAACCUGCCGACAACACUGGGAUAGCCUUUCGAAAGAAAGAUUAAUACCGGAUGGCAUAAUUAUUCCGCAUGGGAUAAUUAUUAAAGAAUUUCGGUUGUCGAUGGGGAUGCGUUCCAUUAGGCAGUUGGCGGGGUAACGGCCCACCAAACCUACGAUGGAUAGGGGUUCUGAGAGGAAGGUCCCCCACAUUGGAACUGAGACACGGUUCAAACUCCUACGGGAGGCAGCAGUGAGGAAUAUUGGUCAAUGGACGAGAGUCUGAACCAGCCAAGUAGCGUGAAGGAUGACUGCCCUAUGGGUUGUAAACUUCUUUUAUACGGGAAUAAAGUGAGCCACGUGUGGCUUUUUGUAUGUACCGUAUGAAUAAGGAUCGGCUAACUCCGUGCCAGCAGCCGCGGUAAUACGGAGGAUUCGAGCGUUAUCCGGAUUUAUUGGGUUUAAAGGGAGCGUAGGCGGGUUGUUAAGUCAGUUGUGAAAGUUUGCGGCUCAACCGUAAAAUUGCAGUUGAUACUGGCGACCUUGAGUGCAACAGAGGUAGGCGGAAUUCGUGGUGUAGCGGUGAAAUGCUUAGAUAUCACGAAGAACUCCGAUUGCGAAGGCAGCUUACUGGAUUGUAACUGACGCUGAUGCUCGAAAGUGUGGGUAUCAAACAGGAUUAGAUACCCUGGUAGUCCACACAGUAAACGAUGAAUACUCGCUGUUGGCGAUAUACAGUCAGCGGCCAAGCGAAAGCAUUAAGUAUUCCACCUGGGGAGUACGCCGGCAACGGUGAAACUCAAAGGAAUUGACGGAAG
rnacentral:rRNA from 1 species